AACGAAUUUCAGAAAGUGCUUAGAAUAUAAUGAAGUUGAUUCAAGAUUAUAAACAACAGAAAAGUAAUUAAUACAUGAAGAAUUCUCAAAUGCAAUUGUGCAUAUAAAAAGAUCAAUUUUAUGAGAUCAUUGAAUGCGAUAAUGAAGCAGACGGAUGAAUUUUAAACGGUGGUUUACAAAAUGAGAACUAUGAACUAAUAUUUGAGAUAGCAGAAGUUUCUCUGUUGGGAUUUAUGGAGCUGUUGACCACUAAUUAGUUUCUUGAUGCACGGUUCCAAGCUUUAAUUUCCCACUCGCAGAUGCUGCUGAACAUGCUGCAAUGACUUGUCUUCAACGACCUCGUAAAUAGAGCAUCCAAAUCUUACCAAAUUAUAACUUGUUUCCUUCCUUUUAAAAAGGAUUAGAACAAUUACAAUUAUCUAUUUUGAAAGUAUGAUUUUAUAAAUAUAUAUAUAUAUAUAUAUAUUA